rnacentral:rRNA from 1 species
GAUGGACGCUGGCGGCGUGCCUAAUACAUGCAAGUCGAGCGAACAGACGAGGAGCUUGCUCCUCUGACGUUAGCGGCGGACGGGUGAGUAACACGUGGAUAACCUACCUAUAAGACUGGGAUAACUUCGGGAAACCGGAGCUAAUACCGGAUAAUAUAUUGAACCGCAUGGUUCAAUAGUGAAAGACGGUUUUGCUGUCACUUAUAGAUGGAUCCGCGCCGCAUUAGCUAGUUGGUAAGGUAACGGCUUACCAAGGCAACGAUGCGUAGCCGACCUGAGGGGGUGAUCGGCCACACUGGAACUGAGACACGGUCCAGACUCCUACGGGAGGCAGCAGUAGGGAAUCUUCCGCAAUGGGCGAAAGCCUGACGGAGCAACGCCGCGUGAGUGAUGAAGGUCUUCGGAUCGUAAAACUCUGUUAUUAGGGAAGAACAAAUGUGUAAGUAACUAUGCACGUCUUGACGGUACCUAAUCAGAAAGCCACGGCUAACUACGUG